UGGGGGAUAUUGCACAAUGGGCGAAAGCCUGAUGCAGCGACGCCGCGUGGGGGAUGAAGGCUUUCGGGUUGUAAACCUCUUUCGCUAUCGAACAAGGCCCGCUUAGGGUGGGUUGAGGGUAGGUGGAGAAGAAGCGCCGGCUAACUAAGUGCCAGCAGCCGCGGUAAUACGUAGGGCGCGAGCGUUGUCCGGAAUUAUUGGGCGUAAAGGGCUUGUAGGCGGCUUGUUGCGCCUGCUGUGAAAACGCGGGGCUUAACUUCGCGCGUGCAGUGGGUACGGGCAGGCUUGAGUGUGGUAGGGGUGACUGGAAUUCCAGGUGUAGCGGUGGAAUGCGCAGAUAUCUGGAGGAACACCGAUGGCGAAGGCAGGUCACUGGGCCAUUACUGACGCUGAGGAGCGAAAGCAUGGGUAGCGAACAGG
rnacentral:rRNA from 1 species